GACGAGGCGUGUGAUUGAGAUGAACGGCAGCUAGCUAGCUCAGUGGAGAAAUCGGGUGCAGUGCAUCGCCGGUCAUGAUUGAUUGUUUUUAAUGAAUACAAGAAAAAUAACAUUAACUAGCUAACGUUAGCUAAUAUAGCCAGCCCGCUCUUAGAAUUUAUAACUUUUAUUUGGUUUAUUUUCCAUCAUAUUUUGCUUUUCUCAAUGUCGCUCAAAUAUGCUAUGGCAUAUUUGCCAGCUAACAUUAAGUUAUCCUAACUAUCUAGCAUUAGCUAACGUUAGCUAACAUUACUUGUUUCGCAAGUUGCUUUGGCACUACUGAUCUUGCUAAGUUAGCUGACGUUAUGUGAAUGUGAAAAAUGAUUUGUUUUUCGAAAAGGAUUGGUAGAUCUAUUGUUUUAGCGAGUAUUCAUCCGUUUGAAGCCACGGACUUAACGUUAUUGCUUACUCAAUCUGGCAGAGUUGAUUGUCAAAGGACCUUGGACAACCGUAACUGGCCUAAGACCAUGGAAGACACUUUGCACACUGGACAGAAGAGGCCACCUUUCUGCUAGAGGAAGAGACUAUUUGUUCUACAAAGAGACCAGGAAUCCAGAGGGAUGCAGGCCACCCACUCAGCUGUCCAAUGGAUGCAGGAAUUCAACCCAGCUUUCUCUGCCAUUGUUGACUAAGAGUGCUAACCAUGAAUGAAGAGGAAGUACAAGAAGCUUUAAAGAUGUAUGAAGAAUAUUAUAACCAAAUGCAGAAUACAGAGGGGGGAGACCCUGAGGAAAUUCCAGCCCUGUUUUGUUUUUAUUUUAAAAGUACAAAAGGACAUGGACAUAUUCCUUAAGGAAGGGAGAGGACGAGUGGUUUACUGCUCACUGUAUAAAAGCAGAACUCUCUCAAUGAGGAACCUUUUUUUUUUUUUCUUUAUAAAACCCCUUUGUUUACCUGCAUUGUUGUCCCUGGGCCUCAAUCACUUGGGCAAUCCCGUCACAUGCAUAUAUACAGCACUCGUGCGGAGGCUGUCAAUCAAAAUAUAGCUAGCUUAAAGUCACUGGAGUGCAUCUAAACACUAUGGCGUUGUUUUAUGCUUCCUCAUGCUUAACAAUUCACUUAUGCAUAACAAUAUAAAGAGAACAUGCAGUUAGCCUACAUCAGUGGUUCCCAACUCACGUCGGGACCCUAAGCCAUAUACAAUCAAUUUACAAAAAGAUUAUUGUAGAAUAUGUACCUAUAUUAGUAUAUUGUUUUGGUCAUAUUUAUUUUAAUUGAACAGUAUAAAGUAUUUGCAUAAUUAAAAUAUAAAGCACAUGGCUAUUUAAAGUUUUUGCAAGGCUGUAUUUAUGCUCAAAGGUUCAUACUGUCCGCAACAUUACACCAAAUAUUUUCGUUUUUGGAACGGGGUCAUUUGGAGAAAGGUUGAUAAGAGCUGGCCUACAUUAUAGCGUCUGAGUAAGCAGUUUCUGAUUACACCAGUUAGUAGCUAGCAUGAAACGACACCACAGGCUACACAACAAGGGAGCUAAUCUAUCCAUUCACCAUCAAUAACAGGUUAAUCCUUUACAGAGCCGCGGUGAGCAGGAGCCUAACCUGGCAGACCCUGGACAGGACACCAGUCCAUCGCAGGGCACCACUCACACACAGCAAUUUAGAGUUGAAAUCAACCUGAACAGCUGUUGGACUGUGGGAGGAAACCAGAGUACCUGGAGAAAACCCACGUGAACACAGGGAGAACAUGCAGACUCCACACAG